GUUGACCAGCAGCUAAGUUGUAGAGGAGACUGGUUUGCCUUGACCCUAACCCUAAUUUUUAAAGACGGUCCUGCUAUCGUCUUCGCCUGCAGUAAUGUGGAGUUUUUCUGACUGUGUUUUCUUCACAAUCUGUUAGGUUUGUUAAAAAUAACAAAAAAGCACGGACCGGUCGACACUUCACAAGGCUUGUUGGUAAUUUUGCAGAAAGGGUCUGUGCAUGUGUUCAUGUCCGAAGUUGCAUUUACACCAACAGAGCGAGACUACUGAGAUGGGGCUAGCUACCUCGCAUUAUCAGUAGUCAAGGGUUCGUCCCUGUUCGUACUGUUGGCUGUGAUACUCUUGAUGAGG
rnacentral:telomerase_RNA from 1 species